UACAGAGGUCUCAAGCGUUGUUCGGAUUCAUUGGGCGUAAAGGGUGUGUAGGUGGCGCGCUAAGUCGGGUGUGAAAUUUCGGAGCUUAACCCCGAAACUGCAUUCGAUACUGCGGUGCUCGAGGACUGGAGAGGAGACUGGAAUUCACGGUGUAGCAGUGAAAUGCGUAGAUAUCGUGAGGAAGACCAGUGGCGAAAGCGGGUCUCUGGACAGUUCCUGACACUGAUGCACGAAGGCCAGGGGAGCAAACGGG
rnacentral:rRNA from 1 species